rnacentral:lncRNA from 1 species
CUGCAGUAUAUAGUCUCUCUACCUGACAAGUCAAAACAACAAUGACUGUAUUAAUUGGGAUCAAAACAGACACAUAACCAGUAUAGAGUGUACUCCAAUAAGAUGCACAAACAUGAUGCAAUAAAAAUACCCAUUACAAUAAUAAAGUUGCUCUUCCUCAACAGAUUAAUAUAUGAGCAGUCCCCAUACCAACUUAAAUACGCCGGAUUUGGUAUACACCUGUUAUCAUGUAUUUAUAAAAGUGAAAUUUAAAGAUGCUUUGCUACAUUGUUAGCUCCAGAAGAGUACAAAUACGAGC